AUUGAACGCUAGCGGGAUGCUUUACACAUGCAAGUCGAACGGCAGCGCGGACUUCGGUCUGGCGGCGAGUGGCGAACGGGUGAGUAAUGUAUCGGAACGUGCCCAGUAGCGGGGGAUAACUACGCGAAAGCGUAGCUAAUACCGCAUACGCCCUACGGGGCAAAGCAGGGGAUCGUAAGACCUUGCACUAUUGGAUCAGCCGAAAUCGGAUUAGCUAGUUGGUGAGGUAACGGCUCACCAAGGCGACGAUCCGUAGCUGGUUUGAGAGGACGACCAGCCACACUGGGACUGAGACACGGCCCAGACUCCUACGGGAGGCAGCAGUGGGGAAUUUUGGACAAUGGGGGCAACCCUGAUCCAGCCAUCCCGCGUGUGCGAUGAAGGCCUUCGGGUUGUAAAGCACUUUUGGCAGGAAAGAAACGUCGCGGGCUAAUACCCCGUGGAACUGACGGUACCUGCAGAAUAAGCACCGGCUAACUACGUG
rnacentral:rRNA from 1 species